GACGAACGCUGGCGGCGUGCUUAACACAUGCAAGUCGAGCGGACAGGCCCUGCUUUUGUUCGUUGCUCGUGUGCCGCACGGGUGAGUAACACGUGUGUAACCUGCCCUUGACUUUGGGGUAACUUCAGGAAAAUGGGGCUCUUACCGGAUAUGAGCUCCUGCUGCAUGGUGGGGGUUGGUAAGUUUCGGCGGUUGGGGCUGGACUGGCGGCUUAUCAGCUUGUUUGUGGGGUAGGGGCUUACCAAGUCUUUGACGGGUAGCCGGCCUGAGAGGGUGACCGGCCACAUUGCGACUGAGAUACGGACCAGACUCCUACGGGAGGCAGUAGGGGGGAACAUGGCACAAUGGGCGGAAGCCUGAUGCAGCAACGCCGCGUGCGUGAAGACGUGUUUCGGGGGGUAAACCGAUUUCGCCGGUGACGAAGCGUGAGUGACGGUAAUGGGUAAAGAAGCACCGGCUAACUACGUG
rnacentral:rRNA from 1 species